rnacentral:rRNA from 1 species
UACGUAGGGUGCAAGCGUUGUCCGGAAUUAUUGGGCGUAAAGAGCUUGUAGGCGGUUUGUCGCGUCUGCUGUGAAAUUUCGGGGCUCAACCCCGAACUUGCAGUGGGUACGGGCAGACUAGAGUGUGGUAGGGGAGACUGGAAUUCCUGGUGUAGCGGUGAAAUGCGCAGAUAUCAGGAGGAACACCGAUGGCGAAGGCAGUCUGCUGGGCCGUAACUGACGCUGAGGAGCGAAAGCGUGGGGAGCGAACAGG